CCACGGGUGAGUAACACGUAUCCAGCCUGCCGUCUACUCUUGGCCAGCCUUCUGAAAGGAAGAUUAAUCCAGGAUGGCAUCAUGAGUUCACAUGUCCGCAUGAUUAACGGUAUUUUCCGGUAGACGAUGGGGAUGCGUUCCAUUAGAUAGUAGGCGGGGUAACGGCCCACCUAGUCAACGAUGGAUAGGGGUUCUGAGAGGAAGGUCCCCCACAUUGGAACUGAGACACGGUCCAA
rnacentral:rRNA from 1 species